ACGGAGGGUGCGAGCGUUGUUCGGAAUCACUGGGCGUAAAGGGCGUGUAGGCGGUCUGUUAAGUCUGAUGUGAAAGCCCGGGGCUCACCCCCGGAAGUGCAUUGGAUACUGGCGGACUCGAGUCCCGGAGAGGAGGGUGGAAUUCCUGGUGUAGCGGUGAAAUGCGUAGAGAUCGGGAGGAACACCAGUGGCGAAGGCGGCCUUCUGGACCAGUACUGACGCUCAUGCACGAAAGCGUGGGGAGCAAACAGGA
rnacentral:rRNA from 1 species